AGAGUAUAGCUCAGUGGUAGAGCACGUGCUUAGCAUGCAUGAGUCCUGGGUUCAAUCCCCAGUAUCUCCA
rnacentral:tRNA from 1 species